rnacentral:rRNA from 1 species
UAGGGAAUCUUCGGCAAUGGGGGCAACCCUGACCGAGCAACGCCGCGUGAGUGAAGAAGGUUUUCGGAUCGUAAAGCUCUGUUGUUAGAGAAGAACACGAGUGAGAGUAACUGUUCAUUCGAUGACGGUAUCUAACCAGCAAGUCACGGCUAACUACGUGCUAG